rnacentral:rRNA from 1 species
AACGAACGCUGGCGGCAUGCCUAACACAUGCCAGUCGAACGAGACCUUCGGGUCUAGUGGCGCACGGGUGCGUAACGCGUGGGAACCUGCCCUUAGGUUCGGAAUAACUCCCCGAAAGGGGUGCUAAUACCGGAUAAGGUCUUCGGACCAAAGUUUUAUCGCCUUUGGAUGGGCCCGCGUUGGAUUAGCUAGUUGGUAGGGUAAAAGCCUACCAAGGCGACGAUCCAUAGCUGGUCUGAGAGGAUGAUCAGCCACACUGGGACUGAGACACGGCCCAGACUCCUACGGGAGGCAGCAGUGGGGAAUAUUGGACAAUGGGCGAAAGCCUGAUCCAGCAAUGCCGCGUGAGUGAUGAAGGCCUUAGGGUUGUAAAGCUCUUUUACCCGGGAUGAUAAUGACAGUACCGGGAGAAUAAGCUCCGGCUAACUCCGUG